rnacentral:lncRNA from 1 species
AUGCUAAUUAGGCUCCUGGCAGGGUCAUUGCAAGCCUUCUCCAUACUUAAUGACUUUAAGAUCCUAAUUAGGGUCCUCCUUCCGCCUUAUUCCCUUCACUUCCGGGUUUCCCAUCACUUCCGGUCCCCCACAAUUCAGAUUCCGACCGUUUCCUUCACCCGAACGCCUCCGAGUGUCCCCGAACAGCUCCGAGCGUGCCCCGAACGCUUCCGAACCCGACCCGAGCGCUUCCGAGUGUCUCCGAACACCACCGAUUGCGCCCCGAGCGCCUCCGAGUGUCCCCGAACACCUCCGAUCGCAUCCCGAGCGUUUCCGAACGCGACCCGAGCGUUUCCGAGCGCCCCCCGAACGAGAGCCGAACUCCUCCGAGUGCUCCCCGAACGACAGCCGAACUCGACCCGAACGCUUCCGAGCGCCCCCGGACGAGACCCGAACGCCUUCGAUUGCAGCCCGAGCGCCUCCCGAGCCGUUCCGAACACUUCCGAAAGGCACCCGAGCGCGGCCCCGAGCCGCUCCGAACUCGAUCCGAAGGCGACCCGAACUGGACCCGAACGCUUCCGAGCGCUCCUCAACCCCCCCCCGAACACCUCCGAGCGUCACCGGAAAAGACCCGAACGCCUCCGAUUCGAACCCGAGCGCUUCCCGAACUCGACCCGAACUCCCCCCGAUUGCCCCCGAACUCGACCCGAAGGCGACCCGAACUCAAGCCGAACAGCCCGGAACUCGGAGCUGAACGCAGCCCGAGUCCCCCCGAACUCGACCGGAAGUUGCCCCGAGUCCUUCCGGAGUUCCCGGAAGUCGACCCGAGUGGAGCCCGAGCCCCCCCCGAACCCGACCCCAGUGCGUCACGAACACCCCGGAAGUCGGACCCGAACGCCCCGGAAGUCAACCAGAACGGAGCACGAAUCUGCCCGAACUCUACCGGAAGUCUCCCCGAACUCAACCCGAGUGCGUCACGAACACCCCGGAACUGCACCCGAACUCGACCCGAGUCCCUCCGAACUCGACCCGAACGCCCCCAAACUCGACCGGAAGUCGCCCCGAACUCGACCCGAACGCCUCCGAACUCGACCGGAAGUCGCCCCGAACACCUCCCGAGUCCCUGCGAACUCGAGCCGAACAACCCGGAACUGGACCUGA